ensembl:lncRNA
CCACCUUACUGGGCAGGCUGGUUGGAGUUUCUCCACAGACCCUCCUCCCACCUGCCUCUCUCAAUUGGUUACAGCUGGUGUCAGGGAAAGGCAAUUUCCCAGAAGAUAGAAACACCUGAAACUGAUGUAGCUUCCCAAUAAGAUCUCAGGAGUUGGGCAAGUAAGCUCAAGCAAGUGCAUUAAGCGUCAAAGUGGUGGAAUUUAACUGGUAUAUGACAUUGCACAGGUAAGUGAAGAAUGCUUCAAGAGAGCGCGGAGAAAACGCUGGUGAGCAUGCAUAAAACGCUGGUAAACGCACCGCGCAUGCUCCCCUCCCACGGGCUAGCAAGGCCAUUGCACGUAGGGACAGCACACUGCAAGGAGAGAAUCGGGGAGAAGGAAUGCAAGACCCUGGAAGCAUACCAACGUAUAAAACUCCAAGCCAAAAGGGACAUGGAUGAAUCUGGAGAACAUCAUCCUCAGCAAACUGACACAAGAACAGAAAAUGAAACACCGCAUAUUCUCACUCAUAGGCGGGUGAUGAAAAAUGAGAACACAUGGACACAGAAAGGGGAGUACUAAACACUGGGGUCUAUUGGGGGGAAAAGGGGAGGGCCAGUGGGCGGGGGAGGUGGGGAGGGAUAGCCUGGGGAGAAAUGCCAAAUGUGGGUGAAGGGGAGAAGAAAAGCAAAGCACACUGCCAUGUGUGUACCUAUGCAACUGUCUUGCAUGCUCUGCUCAUGUACCCCAAAACCUAUAAUCCAAUAAAAAAUUUAAAAAAAAGAUUCUGCUAACUUAUACAUUAAUCAAACAAACAAAAAGGACUUUUAUAAAAAAUGGUGAAGAGGCUAAAGGUAAACAUUCAAGUUUAGGUAAAGAAAUAAAGGCAAUGCUGAUAUCAGCAGGAGUUCAGAAACAUUUUACCAGGGUGCUGCCUCAAAAUAAUGUAAUUUAAUAAUUUCUUACUUCUCCACUAUAGAUUAAUAUUCACAGAGAAGUUCACCUGAGUAUCAGGGACUUGAGAUAUUUUGAUCAAGCCAGUCUGUAUAACAUAAUGCCUUUCCCUGUUGCCACAGAGAUUAGAAUCUGCUCCCAGAAGAAGAAGGGGCAACAGGCAAGCAAAGAUAAUUGAAAUCACUGUGCAUGCCCAACCUGACGAAAGUCAUAGGUAAGUACUAACCUCCCACUCAUUUUUCAAUUCCUAAAAUGCUCCUGUUUUAUGUAAUGUGUUUACCUCACAUACAAUUGAAAAUUAUAUUACAUCUAAUUAGGAGAAAAGCAGAAGCGAUUUUUGGCUACUGUUCCUAAAGAUGGUUGACACCAGUAUGAUCUGUGCUACGGUUUGAAUGUGUUCCCCACAGUUCAUGUGUAUGAAAUUGAAUCUCUAAAGUUGUAUGUUGAUAGUAUUUGAAGGUAUGCUGUCUUUCCAUAUGAUGCCUUCCUCCUUGUCAUGAAGCAGGAAAACCCUCACUAGAUGUGGCCCCUUGAUGUUCAACUUUUCAGCCUCUAGAACUGUAAGAAAUAAUUUUUUAAAUAAAUUUCCCAUGUUUGAUACUCUCUUAUAGCAACACAAAAUUAACUAAGACAGAAAACUGGUACAAAUAAUGAGGUUGUUACUGUAAGUACAAAGUAUCCGAGACAGGUCUCAAUCAAUUUAGAACUUUAUUUUUCUAAGAUUAAGGAUAUGCCCUGGAAGAGGUCUGUGCCUUUCUCCAAACAUUAUUUUAAAGGCUUUCAUAUAUAAAGGGAAAGAGGGGGCUGAUGAGAAAGAGGAAAUGUAUGGUCAUCCAUAUGUUACAAAAGGAAAGGAGUGUAGCCCCUUUUUGGAGCAGGUAGGGAAUAGUCAAUUAUGCAUUCAUCUCAUGCUCAGAAAAUUGGCAUUUUACAUAAGAUAGGGUGAACUUAGAGGAGCUACCUGUGGAGAUAUUUAACCUUUUAUCUGUAGCUAUCUGUUAGGAACAAAAGAAAAGGCAGUUUCUUGUAUGACUCAGCUUUCAGCUUAUUUUUUUAUUUUGGCAUGGUGAAUUAUGAUCCCAAGUUUUUAUUUUAUUUUCACAUUGCUAUAACAAUUGCCCAAAAAUGUGAAAAUGGAAAGUAGCCUUAGAACUGGGUAAUGGGCAGAGACUUAGAAGAAUUUCAAGGAACAGCCUGAAAAAAAAAAGUUUAUUUCCCUGAGCAGAGCAUUAAGGGCUAUCCUGGUGAGGGCUCAGAAGAAUAGAGCUGUAGGCAAAGUCUGGAUGUCUUAAAGAGUACUUAAGUGUCUGUGACCAGAAUGUUGGUAAAAAUAUAGACAGGAAAGGCAAUUCUAAUGAGGUUUUAAAUGGAAUUGAAGGGGCAAGGCAUUGGAUACUUGAGUAAAGACCAUCCUUGUUAUACAGUUGCAAGGACCUUAACUGCAUGGGGUCCAUGCCCUAGGGCUUUAUAUAAAGAAGAACUUAAAAAUGAUGAACCAGGAUAGCUGACAGCAGAAAUAUCUAUGCAACAAGCAUUCAGGUUGCUGCCUGGCUACUUUUAGAGAUGCAAAAGCGAAGAGAUACUUCAAAGACUGAAUUUAAAGGAAAGCAGGUUUGGGAGACAAUACUAAGUAGGUGGCCCCCCAAAAUUUUGUUACAGAAAUUCAUAGGGCUAGAAUGCAGCCAGGUGGUAUUCAUUAACACAAUGGGAGAAUGACCCAAAGCUGUUUCAGACAUAUUUGAGGCUGCCCCUUCCAUGACAGGCUCAGAGCAUAAGGAUGGCAGAAUGAUUUCCUGAUGGGCCCUGGGCAAUUUCCAAAGGUUCACAGUCCAGGGCACCUCAGCUUUCUGCUCCCUGCAUUUUAGCACAGCACUGCUUGGCUUCACAUGUGCCCAGGUGCACCUCAGCUGUGGCUCACAUGUACCCAGGUGCAAUGUUAUGCUUCGCUCUAGAAAGUACAAGCAGUCAGUGUUGUCCCAGUUUAGGUAUCAGAUUAACUGGGGCUAAAUUAUGUGCAGCUCCUUUUUAGCUAUGACUAGAAGCAAGUUACUUAUCAUUCCUGUAACUCUUUCUCCUCAGUUGUAGAAAUGAAAAAUAUAACAGUAACUCUUUCAGAGGGUGUAUGUUGAGAAUUAACUCAGUAAAUUACCAUAUGCAACCACAAUAAAUAUUAGUUGGUGUUGCUGUUAUUAUUAUUAUUGCUUUAUUCUCUAUCAAUAAUACAGUGGAAGCAUAUGACAUCCUAUGGGACAAUGAAUCAUAUAAAAUCCCUGAAAAGCUAUAUAGAACAGAAAUAGAAGGGAGAUAAUAUCCCAGAGGCAAAGAUACGUCACAAAGGCAGUUCCUGCCAGCAAGCUACUCUUUUACCCCAUGUUCAAUUGAAAUGUAAUUUCUACAUCAGUAAAAGUAUACCUAUUGCCAAGGCAUAUAUUUGCAUGCCCAUUUGGAUAGCAAGCACAGUCAUACCUAUUUAGUGAUAAGUUUACAGUAAUUGAUUAUUACUUUUUUCUAAUAACCAAAGUAAUCAAAUGAAUAGGUAUAUACUAUGGAUCACCUAUUCCAUACUAUGGAUCCAAACUUGAAGAAUUUAGGGCUAGAAUUUUUCAAGUUUUUGAAGUUUACACCAAUUUUCAUCUUCCUCAGGGAUGGAAAAUAGCAACAAUGUGUUGUUUUUAUUAUUCAGUGAAUGACUGUGUCUAUCCUAUCAUAAUUUGAGCAGGCUCCAAAAGUCAAGUAAUCAAAAUGAGAAUGAUGCUAUAUAACAAACAUCCCAUUCCUCUUACAUGUUCAGGAACUGACUGGGAAAAAAAAAUCACUUUGAAUUCAGAAACUUACUGCAAUUAACAUGAGGCAAAUUUUGUUAAAAUUUUAGUGAUCACUUACUUCCCAUAACACUCAUUCUGUAAAUUAGAAUUUAUAGUGGACUUCAUGUAAACUCUAAUUCCUCAGGAAGUAGUAUUAGCUUGAAGCUUAUAUCCAAUUGCCUUGUACAUAUUUUCUUUUUCAAUUACAUGGAAUACAAGCCCCAGUUUUUUGGAGAAGUUCAGAAGAAAUGCUAAAGGAGAAUGUGCAUGUGUGUUGUCCUAAAACUUUAUUUUCAAUUCUCAGUUUUUAUUUGUCUUUCUCAAAGCUUUCUGACUUCCAUUUACUUGGCAAAUUUUCAUUGAUUAAUUUCAUUGACUAAUUCUUAGUAUCUAAAAUGUGGUUAUAGUGACUCUGAUGAAUCCUCAAAUUAGGCCUUUCAAAUAUUUGAGCAAAAAUCUGAAGGAAAUAAGUGAGUCAGCUUCAUGGAUAACUAUGGAUACAGCUGUUGAAUAGGGGAGACUGCUUAUGCAAAGGCCCUAAGGCAUGUUCUAAGAAUCAGUAAUGAGACAAAAGUGGCUUUAGCAGAUUAAAAACAAAACAAAACAAAACAAAAAACCAGGAUGAUAACAAGAAGAUAAAUCAGAGGUAUAACAAAGCUACAUAUUACAUAGAACCCGUAAGCCUUUAUACAGUCUUUUACUUUUAUGCUAAGUGAUAGAAGAAACUACACAGGAUUCAGAAAAUAGCUUUAAUAUGACCAAACAUAUUUUAAUUGGAUAAAACUAGCUAUUGUGUAUAGAAUAAAUUAUGGAGUGAAAGAAGAGCAAUCCAUUAAAAGGAUUUUGCCUGCAAUUCAUUCUUGAAACAAGCAAGACCC